AGUCACCUAUAACAUUGGCCUAGUCGUGCCAAUACUUGUACCAAGUCGGUAACUUCCUUCAGACAAAGGAUAGCUAGAGUAGUCAGCCAAAAAAAGGUCAUUUGGCUCUGCAUGCAAGCUUUAUGUUAAUCUCGUACUCUAACAGCAAAAUGAUGCGAGUGUGACCAAGGGAACAUGACAUGACGUGUGGACCAGAUGGAAGGUGGUGGUGG
rnacentral:lncRNA from 1 species